rnacentral:rRNA from 1 species
UACAGAGGUCUCAAGCGUUGUUCGGAUUCAUUGGGCGUAAAGGGUGUGUAGGUGGCGCGCUAAGUCGGGUGUGAAAUUUCGGAGCUUAACUCCGAAACUGCAUUCGAUACUGGCGUGCUUGAGGACUGGAGAGGAGACUGGAAUUUACGGUGUAGCAGUGAAAAUGCGUAGAUAUCGUAAGGAAGACCAGUGGCGAAGGCGGGGUCUCUGGACAGUUCCUGACACUGAGGCACGAAGGCCAGGGGGAGCAAAACGGGG